AACAGUGCUCAAGUUCUCACAUUAAGAUGCAAGCUACUGUGAACGAGCAUCUCUCAUAGUCCUAAAGCAAUGUAAACGUUUAUGCAGAAAAAAAGAAACAGAACAACAUAAGGGUGAGAAAGCUCCAGGAGAGUAUGGAAGAUUUAACAUUUUCCUCAGAAGAAGACUCCAAUGAACGUUUGUAUUUUGAAGAGCGAUUUGAUCCAGCUGAGGAUACAAUUUCAGACAAGUCCUCUCAAGCUCAAUCAGGUUGGAUGGGGAGCAUCGGUGCACAGCCAUUUUCAGAUCUUUCCAGAGAUGUUCAAUCGGGUGCAAGUCUGGGCUCUGGCUGGGCCACUCAAGGACAUUCACAGAGUUGUCCCGUAGCCACUCCUUUGUUAUCUUGGCUGUGUGCUUAGGAUCGUUGUCCUGUUGGAAGAUGAACCUUCGCCCCAGUCUGAGGUCCAGAGCACUCUGGAGCAGGUUUCCAUCAAGGAUGUCGCUAUACAUUGCUGCAUUCAUAUUUCCCUCGAUCCUGAAUAGUCUCCCAGUUCCUGCCACUGAAAAACAUCCCCACAGCAUGAUGCUGCCACCACCAUGCUUCACUGUUAUCUUUUGUUAUACACAGAAUAAAAAAGUCAUAGAGUUUUGAAAAGUCAUUCAAAAUUGUCAUUUAGGACGGUCCCAAAUUGAGGGUCCCAGUAUUGAAAGGUCUUUGUAUUGAUUCAGUUAAAAUUCACUGCUGUGAAUGACCUUUCCUUCACAUUCUCCUCUCUUGAGCAGGGCAGGACAACAGUUUAAAUUAGCCUCCAGAUACAGCAUGAUGUGUCUGACAGCAAUACACACGCACACACACUCAAACAUACAUGCAUGCAUACAGCAGAAUGAGUCUGUAAGCAGCAUAAACAAGGCCAUAAAUAUAAAGAUUUUGUAUCUCUGUGUUAUUGGUGUAUGGUGGUGUUAUUGUGUAAAGUGCACUAUAAUCCACAAAAAUCGGUAAUUUAAUUACAG